CCAUUAAGCAUUUCAAAGGCAUCUCCGGAUAGAGAUAGACUGUUAAACAUUUCCCCACAUUUCCCCCAGAUGUGUAAAGCUACGUAAUCCAUACCCUAUAUAUCUCCUCAUGUACUGGGGUUCGUGGUCAAGCACCUAGAACAGCUGUGAGGUCUCGGCCCUAGCCCCAUGCCCGGGCUAGAAAUAAAGGCUCUUUGUCUUUACAUCA